CCCGCUCAAGAAACUUAAAGGAAGUUAGACGGGGCCCGGCACAAGCGGUGGAGUAUGUGGUUUAAUUCGAUGCAACGCGAAGAACCUUACCUGGUCUUGACAUCCCAGAAAUCCCUUGGAAACUUGGGAGUGCUUCCAUUAGGAAGAAUCUGGAGACAGGUGCUGCAUGGCUGUCGCCAGCUCGUGUCGUGAGAUGUUGGGUUAAGUCCCGCAACGAGCGCAACCCUUGCCUUUAGUUGCCAGCAGUUCGGCUGGGCACUCUAAAGGGACUGCCGGUGUUAAACCGGAGGAAGGUGGGGAUGACGUCAAGUCCUCAUGGCCUUUAUGACCAGGGCUACACACGUACUACAAUGGCCGAUACAAAGGGCAGCGACAUCGCGAGGUGAAGCCAAUCCCAUAAAAUCGGUCUCAGUCCGGACUGGAGUCUGCAACUCGACUCCAUGAAGUUGGAAUCGCUAGUAAUCGUGGAUCAGCAUGCCACGGUGAAUACGUUCCCGGGCCUU
rnacentral:rRNA from 1 species